UACAGAGGUCCCAAGCGUUGUUCGGAUUCACUGGGCGUAAGGGGUGCGUAGGCGGUCGGGUAAGUCUGACGUGAAAUCUCCGGGCCUAACCCGGAAACUGCGUCGGAUACUAUCCGGCUAGAGGAUUGGAAGGGAGACUGGAAUACUUGGUGUAGCAGUGAAAUGCGUAGAUAUCAAGUGGAACACCAGUGGCGAAGGCGAGUCUCUGGACAAUUCCUGACGCUGAGGCACGAAAGCCAGGGGAGCAAACGGG
rnacentral:rRNA from 1 species